rnacentral:lncRNA from 1 species
AUGGCUAAUUUACAAACAAGGGGGAAACAGAACGUUGAGAAACUCAGCGGCUCCAAAGACUGCAGUAGAUGGGAAACAAUUGGGAAAGCGGCCUCCGCGACUUUCAGAGAGCGCGUGCCUCGUUCGGCCUCCUACGCAGAAACCCACAGCAGAAUGUGCGCGGCGAACACGUGGCCGCGCUGCCGUCGCUUCCCCCGAGUCCUUCCGCGCACAGGAGGGUCCUUGACCAAGCACAGGAGGGUCCCAUCGCACACAGGACGGCUCCUCUGCUGGGCUCCUUCGAGAUGCUCAGGGAUCUCAAGACGGAGCAUGUUGGAGAAGCAAGUGGUCAUCACAAGGCCCCUGGGUCCACGGAGGAACCUCUGCAGGAGUGGUUCAGAUGGUCUACACUGCUGGUCCCCAAAGCGUAAGAAAAGCAGAUUUGAAUUGUGGUUCUUCAGGUAGGUUCCUAGAAAUGUCAUUCAUUACUUGUGUGGGUUUUUUUUUUUUUUUUUUUUUUGACUGUGUUAUGUAUUUACCUACUUGCCCAUUAGAGAGAUCGUAUCCACUUCUGUUCCCACAGAGGGUUCUUUCUGAAUUUGAAACUGUAGUGCAGGAAGGCUGCAGUCUUCCCCCAGCUCCGUCAGCUGCCAUGUGGUUGGACUUGAGUACCUGUAGCCCGAGAUGUCUUGAAAAAUGUCUCAGAACUGUCCUUUGCUAUGAAAAAAAAAAAAAAAAGGAACUUGAUCCUUAUCUAAUAAUGCCAGGUUUUUAUGAAUCUUAACCUUAAAUGCCAUAAAAGCAUUGAGAUUGGUGGCCAAGCACACUCAGAAUUUCAUCUAUCACGUUAUAGUAUUCAGACAAUCACCCUUUUUUGUGCUAGAAGGUACCCUAGGGGUCAGCUUAUUCAAACCUUCUUUUACAAGUUGCAUCCUGAAAUGGGGGACAGGGAGAAAUGACUCGCUGUAAGUCUUGAAGCUUAGUAUAUCUCCACUGAGUUCAGAGCUCAAGUAUGCUGACACCUGGUCUAAUCCAGCUCUUUCACAUAUGUAGCAUCGAUCUGAUGGGGAAGGGAAGCGUGCAGAAAUUUAUUCCGCAGAGUUUCGUGUCAUCAAGGGGGACUGUGCAGGGUGUUAUCAGAUAAUGUCUAUAGUAUGAGCUAACAUUUAUUGAAUGCUUAACUGUGCCAGAUACUGUUUUAAGUGCUUUAGCUGGAUCAAAUUAUCUUAUUAUCUCUCCCACGUAAACUUCAUGAUGACUCUCCGAGGCCCCAUUUUUUAGAUUAGGAAACUGAGCGUGGAGAACUGCCGGAGGGUUUCUAACCAGUCAAUGGUGAAAUUGGAAUCCAGUUGCCUACAUUCUUGCUCCAGAGCCUGGGUUCUCACAUAUCCUGCUAAAUUGCCUCUCUAUAUGUUGCAAGAAUAAAAGGAAAGUAGUGUUUAUUAUGUGUCUAAUA